CAUCCUUGGGAUACCACCCUUGUAGUACUGGGACUCUAACCAUAGGCCAUGAAUCUGGUCUUGGGACACUGUCAGGUGGGCAGUUUGACUGGGGCGGUCGCCUCCCAAAAGGUAACGGAGGCGCUCAAAGGUUCUCUCAGUACGGUCGGAAAUCGUACGUAGAGUGUAAAGGCAAAAGAGAGCUUGAUUGCAAGACAUACAGGUCGAGCAAGGAUGAAAAUCGGACUUAGUGAUCCGGUGGUUCUGCGUGGAAGGGCCAUCGCUCAACGGAUAAAAGCUACCCUGGGGAUAACAGGCUUAUCUCCCCCAAGAGUCCACAUCGACGGGGAGGUUUGGCACCUCGAUGUCGGCUCAUCACAUCCUGGGGCUGUAGUAGGUCCCAAGGGUUGGGCUGUUCGCCCAUUAAAGUGGUACGCGAGCUGGGUUCAGAACGUCGUGAGACAGUUCGGUCCCUAUCCGUCGCAGGCGUAGGAAAUUUGAGAAGACCUGUCCUUAGUACGAGAGGACCGGGAUGGACGUACCUCUGGUGUACCAGUUGUUCUGCCAAGGGCAUGGCUGGGUAGCUAUGUACGGAAUGGAUAAGCGCUGAAAGCAUCUAAGCGCGAAGCCAACUUCAAGAUAAGAUUUCCCACCG
rnacentral:rRNA from 1 species